ensembl:snRNA U6 U6 spliceosomal RNA
CUGCUCAUUUCAGCUGCAUGUAUACUACAACUGGAAUGAUACAGAGAGGAUUAGCAUGGCUCCUGUGAAAGGAUGACACACAAAUUCAUGAAGCACUCCACAUUAAA